rnacentral:lncRNA from 1 species
ACAUUCCCCAAAUCAGUUAAACAACUGGGCAAAAUAAACUAUUAGUUUUAAGCUUUUAAAAUGAAAUAGUUUGUUAAGAAUAACAUUUUACCUACCUCUAGAGGAACUCACUUGAGAAUUUUAAGCAUUUUACAAACAAAACAUCACUCAAGGCUCUAGCCCCCAGGAUUCUGAGAUCAAUGUAAAUAUUUCUUGUGCAUCCCUGGGAAGGCACUAUGAAGUUUUGUAGGACCUGCACAGAAGAACCAGUGCUUACGUGAGAAGGUCUUUCACCAAGCAAUUAUUGGACAUCUACUGUGUGCCAGACCUCACACUAGGUGCUAAGGAACAAAUGUGAAUGACCUCAGCCCUUGUCCUCAAGUGGCCCAUGAUCUAAAGUGGAGAGGCUGAUUUAAAAGUUACUAUCAUAAAUUCUUACAGAUAUAACAAGACUGAUUUCAGUCCCAAAUUCCCUUCUCUCAUUUCAAAUCUCUAAUUCUAAGAACAUCUCACCCCUUUCAAAUGGGAAUACAUCCUAUACUCUCAAUGCUACUACAAAGCAUAACUAUAGUUUCAGGGCAAUGUGGUUCGAUAUAAAUUCCAAAUCAACUUUAAUUUUUCUUUGGAGAGGAAAAACACACACCUGUACCAAACCCAUACAGAAGAGAGACCUUGUAAAAUACCCCAUGAAUUUUAAGCUUACCUGGAACUAAUUUAAAAGACCACACAGAUUCUGAAUAGCAGAGAUGUGUAGGCAAGUUGGGCCCUUGAAAUGAAGGGGCUGAAGUUUUGCAAAGAAGACUAAGCAGGAGCUAACUGCAUUCAGGAUUUUUUUUUUUUAAUUUUUAUUUUUUUUAGGGCCACAGUGGCGGCAUAUGGAGGUUCCCAAGCUAUGGGUUGAAUCGGAGCUGUAGCUGUCGGACUACACCAGAGCUACAGCAACACAGGAUCUGAGCUGUGUCUGCAUGACCUACCCCACAGCUCACGGCAACACCAGAUCCUUAACCCACCAACCAAGGCCAGGGAUUGAACCCAUGUCAUCACGGAUACCAGCCGGGUUUGUUAACCGCUGAGCCACAUUGGGAACUCCAGGAUUUUCUCUUAUUUUGUAACCUCUGAAAAUCUCAUAAACACUAGAGAUAUUUUCUACAGAAAGCACUUAUAUACACAAAUGUUACUCCUGAAAUCCAUGGACUUUGGGUUAAGAAUCCCAGCUCUACAGCACAGAAACAAAGGCGAGACUCUUUCCAGCUAACCCCUUGCAGAAGGGCGCAUCUCCAUUAGUGCACACCUAGGAUAAUGCCUGGCAUAAAGAACUCCAUAGAUAUCCGGUCAAUGAAUGAAUGAUGUUAUUUGUGCUAUGGCUUAAUUGUGGCAAGCUGUUUUAAAUCUAAAGAAAAUAUCUGAUUUCCUUAAUAUGAAUUUUACUGAUACAUCCUGUUUACCUAUUUUUAUUUUCACUUUUUUAAUUAAGAAAAAAUUUUUUUGGCUGAACUCAGAGCAUAGAGAAGCUCCUGGACCAGGGAUCAAAGCUGCACCACAGCAGUGACAACACCAGAUCCUUAACCUGCUGUGCCACCAAGGAACUCUCUCUUUACCUUUUUAAAAAAUUAUUAUUUUUUUCUUUUUAGGGUCACACCUGUGGCAUAUGGAAGGUCCUGGGCUAGGGGGUGAAUCAGAGCUGCAGCUGCCAGCCUACGCCACAGCCACAGCAAUGCCAGAUCCGAGCCACGUCUGUGACCUACACCGAAGCUUGUGGCCACUGAGUGAAGCCAGGGAUUGAACCAGCACCCUUAUGGAUACUAGUCGGGUUCUUAACUAGCUGAACCACAAUGAGAAUUGCCUACCUUUAAAUUAAAGAAAAAAAAAAAAACUUAUUAUUUUGAAAUAAUUACAGACUCACAAGAAAUUGCAAAAAUCGUGAGACUGGUGUAGCCCUCAUCCAGCCUCCCUCAGUGACAUCUUACAAAACAACAGUGCCUUAUCAGAAGCAGGAAACUGAUUGACAGCAGUUAACAACUUGACCUAACUUGGAUUUCAUGAUUUUUUGCACAUGUUCCCCUCAUUACCUUUUUACGUAAACAAAUAAUAUAAACACUCACAUUUUCACCUGAAAACAGUUUGCCAAAAUUCAAAUAUUACAGCAGUCAAAAAUAGAACAGAUUUCUCUCAGCUGUAAGUAUCUAACAAGGAACCGCUGAGCAGAAAAAAAGACAAAGGUGUGAGUUCGCUCAGCACUGUUCCCAGCUCCAUGCACCCUGUCUCCCCACUAUGACUUUAUUUUCUGACCUGAAGGGUAUUUUUAAGACAUUAAGCACAACCAUAUAAGCAAAAUUGCCACCAACGUGGGGUGUCAUAUAACCAAAAUCAUUUUGCUUCCAGAGAGGAGACUCAACACCAUCUUCAUCUAAUUAAGUUUCUAUACUAUUAAGGGCCUGCCCACUGUGCUGAAAGAAGCUGCUUGCGGUGCUGAGAGGAAAAGGGCCAGAACCCUUGAGCUGCCAGCGAGCAGGGCAGAUGUGCAGCAACUCAUGUGGAGAGUAUAUGAGUUCUGGAGCCAGAAAUUUGAGGGGGUUUACCAUAUCUUUCAAUUCUUUUUUUUUUUUUUUUUUUUUUUUUUUGUCUUUUUGCCAUUUCUAGGGCCGCUCCCGUGGCAUAUGGAGGUUCCCAGGCUAGGGAUCCAAUCGGAGCUGUAGGCACCAGCCUACACCACAGCCACAGCAACGUGGGAUCCAAGCCGCAUAUGCGCCCUGCACCACAGCUCACGGCAACGCCAGAUCCUCAACCCACUGAGCAAGGCCAAGGAUCGAACCCACAACCUCAUGGUUCCUAGUUGGAUUCACCAACCAUGACAGGAACUCCAUGACUGCAAGUCUUUAUCAUGGUCUCCUAGCCCCCUGCUGCAAACCUUCACACACACACACACACACAUACACACACACACAGAGCACCUAUGUCCACUCCUGACCACCAGCCUGGAGAGUGACACUCUGCCCCUUCCUCCUUCCCCUCCCCUUUUGCAACCCAAAUACUCCACUCUCCAUAAAGAAGGAACUAUUACUUGCAUCUCAUUCCCAUCUGCUACAGACUAUGAUUAAUUAACACCCUUCAUUAUAAAAUCUCAACACAACAAAGUGAGACAAAGUC